rnacentral:lncRNA from 1 species
GGUUUCUGUAGUGAUGAAGCCGACUGCGGAGAUCUAUUGGCUGCUGGCUUUGUAAAUUUCAUUCAGUUUGGUCCAAUAGCAGAGGGGAGCAGGGAGACAUCAGGACCUCUCUCUCCAGUCUCUCUUCCUCCCAAACCCGUCUCUGUCUCUCAGUACAGAGCUCUUAUUCAGACCUAGCUCUGCCCUUCCUGCUCCGACUGUGUUCCUUUUUCUUCCUGACCAGAAGACUAUUUACGACAGAAACAACGAGUUUCCUCCAAACGGCGGGGUCGCUGUCGGUGGUCCUCACAUUCCUUUGGAGGAGCAAUUCUAGUUGGGAUUCGAGAAAGCAAAGGUGCCUGGACUAAAUACAUCCUCCUGAAUCAUACCCUCCAUCUGGGUUCCCUAGAAAAAGCUGGAUGUGUAAAAGGAACAUUUACAGCCGAUGCAGCUUUUCCACAGCUGAGGUAUCCAUUUGACUCACGACCAGGGCACAUUGGAAUGGCUAUGAAUGUCUCUAUGAACCUCAAAACCUCCAGUUGUAAAGAUGAAAUUAUAUGGAGUGUCCUACUUGAAACGUUGUCAUAGUGUGGAAUAGAUCAUCCUUAGCUUCCACAUCUGAUAUUCCUCAAAAGUAGGGAAAAAUGUGCUGAGAUGGAAAAGAAAUCAAGUAGAUUUCCAUGGAGGCAUUUUUAAAGGCAUCUUCUUAGAAGGACAAUGUAAUGCAUCAUAAAUCUUGGAUCAGGAGGAGUUAUAAGGAAUUGUGCUUAGACAGGAGGAGAGGAUAAAAGA